UUUAAGAAACCCAGAAUUCUAACUCUCUUGUUUUGAAACUGUGGGACACCCAAAAGAUCGAGUAGCCUGAUUGAAGGCGCGAAGACAUUCGCUUGUCUUGAGCCAGAGAAGGUUUCAACAUGGCCAGCAACGAGCUCGAUGUUUGGAUACCCAUAAAAAUGAAGGGUGGAGAUGAAAUCCCUCAUUACGAAGAAGAUGGCUGAAUUGAAGGCAUUGAGGAGACAAGGAGCAAAUACCACAACUUUUAAGUCUACCAAAGUUGCUGCCACAUCUACCUCAACAAGCACAUUGCCUUCGACAUCAACUAAAGCAUCAAAGGAGCAAGCUCCAACACCUUCCAGAUCAUCUUUGAGGAUCAGGCAGAAUUCGAAGCAAGGGAGAAAAUAGGUGGAACUACAAUGUUUCAUUAGCAAGCGCUAACAUCUUUUGUGCAACCUCGUUUUGUGAUGCUUGGUUGUUUGCUCUAAUUUUUUGUUAAAAUGAUUAGAGCUAUUUGAAAUGUUGUAAACAUUUGGCUACUAAGUCUUUUGGAAUUUUAAGAAAGUUUCAUUUUUGUUAUA